rnacentral:rRNA from 1 species
GGUUAAGCGACUAAGCGUACACGGUGGAUGCCCUGGCAGUCAGAGGCGAUGAAGGACGUGCUAAUCUGCGAUAAGCGUCGGUGAGGUGAUAUGAACCGUUAUAACCGGCGAUUUCCGAAUGGGGAAACCCAGUGUGAUUCGUCACACUAUCAUUAACUGAAUCCAUAGGUUAAUGAGGCGAACCGGGGGAACUGAAACAUCUAAGUACCCCGAGGAAAAGAAAUCAACCGAGAUUCCCCCAGUAGCGGCGAGCGAACGGGGAGGAGCCCAGAGCCUGAAUCAGUGUGUGUGUUAGUGGAAGCGUCUGGAAAGGCGCGCGAUACAGGGUGACAGCCCCGUACACAAAAAUGCACAUACUGUGAGCUCGAUGAGUAGGGCGGGACACGUGGUAUCCUGUCUGAAUAUGGGGGGACCAUCCUCCAAGGCUAAAUACUCCUGACUGACCGAUAGUGAACCAGUACCGUGAGGGAAAGGCGAAAAGAACCCCGGCGAGGGGAGUGAAAAAGAACCUGAAACCGUGUACGUACAAGCAGUGGGAGCCUCUUAAUGGGGUGACUGCGUACCUUUUGUAUAAUGGGUCAGCGACUUAUAUUCUGUAGCAAGGUUAACCGAAUAGGGGAGCCGAAGGGAAACCGAGUCUUAACUGGGCGUUAAGUUGCAGGGUAUAGACCCGAAACCCGGUGAUCUAGCCAUGGGCAGGUUGAAGGUUGGGUAACACUAACUGGAGGACCGAACCGACUAAUGUUGAAAAAUUAGCGGAUGACUUGUGGCUGGGGGUGAAAGGCCAAUCAAACCGGGAGAUAGCUGGUUCUCCCCGAAAGCUAUUUAGGUAGCGCCUCGUGAAUUCAUCUCCGGGGGUAGAGCACUGUUUCGGCAAGGGGGUCAUCCCGACUUACCAACCCGAUGCAAACUGCGAAUACCGGAGAAUGUUAUCACGGGAGACACACGGCGGGUGCUAACGUCCGUCGUGAAGAGGGAAACAACCCAGACCGCCAGCUAAGGUCCCAAAGUCAUGGUUAAGUGGGAAACGAUGUGGGAAGGCCCAGACAGCCAGGAUGUUGGCUUAGAAGCAGCCAUCAUUUAAAGAAAGCGUAAUAGCUCACUGGUCGAGUCGGCCUGCGCGGAAGAUGUAACGGGGCUAAACCAUGCACCGAAGCUGCGGCAGCGACACUGUGUGUUGUUGGGUAGGGGAGCGUUCUGUAAGCCUGUGAAGGUGGCCUGUGAGGGUUGCUGGAGGUAUCAGAAGUGCGAAUGCUGACAUAAGUAACGAUAAAGCGGGUGAAAAGCCCGCUCGCCGGAAGACCAAGGGUUCCUGUCCAACGUUAAUCGGGGCAGGGUGAGUCGACCCCUAAGGCGAGGCCGAAAGGCGUAGUCGAUGGGAAACAGGUUAAUAUUCCUGUACUUGGUGUUACUGCGAAGGGGGGACGGAGAAGGCUAUGUUGGCCGGGCGACGGUUGUCCCGGUUUAAGCGUGUAGGCUGGUUUUCCAGGCAAAUCCGGAAAACCAAGGCUGAGGCGUGAUGACGAGGCACUACGGUGCUGAAGCGACAAAUGCCCUGCUUCCAGGAAAAGCCUCUAAGCAUCAGGUAACAUCAAAUCGUACCCCAAACCGACACAGGUGGUCAGGUAGAGAAUACCAAGGCGCUUGAGAGAACUCGGGUGAAGGAACUAGGCAAAAUGGUGCCGUAACUUCGGGAGAAGGCACGCUGAUAUGUAGGUGAAGCGACUUGCUCGUGGAGCUGAAAUCAGUCGAAGAUACCAGCUGGCUGCAACUGUUUAUUAAAAACACAGCACUGUGCAAACACGAAAGUGGACGUAUACGGUGUGACGCCUGCCCGGUGCCGGAAGGUUAAUUGAUGGGGUUAGCGGUAACGCGAAGCUCUUGAUCGAAGCCCCGGUAAACGGCGGCCGUAACUAUAACGGUCCUAAGGUAGCGAAAUUCCUUGUCGGGUAAGUUCCGACCUGCACGAAUGGCGUAAUGAUGGCCAGGCUGUCUCCACCCGAGACUCAGUGAAAUUGAACUCGCUGUGAAGAUGCAGUGUACCCGCGGCAAGACGGAAAGACCCCGUGAACCUUUACUAUAGCUUGACACUGAACAUUGAGCCUUGAUGUGUAGGAUAGGUGGGAGGCUUUGAAGUGUGGACGCCAGUCUGCAUGGAGCCGACCUUGAAAUACCACCCUUUAAUGUUUGAUGUUCUAACGUUGGCCCGUAAUCCGGGUUGCGGACAGUGUCUGGUGGGUAGUUUGACUGGGGCGGUCUCCUCCUAAAGAGUAACGGAGGAGCACGAAGGUUGGCUAAUCCUGGUCGGACAUCAGGAGGUUAGUGCAAUGGCAUAAGCCAGCUUGACUGCGAGCGUGACGGCGCGAGCAGGUGCGAAAGCAGGUCAUAGUGAUCCGGUGGUUCUGAAUGGAAGGGCCAUCGCUCAACGGAUAAAAGGUACUCCGGGGAUAACAGGCUGAUACCGCCCAAGAGUUCAUAUCGACGGCGGUGUUUGGCACCUCGAUGUCGGCUCAUCACAUCCUGGGGCUGAAGUAGGUCCCAAGGGUAUGGCUGUUCGCCAUUUAAAGUGGUACGCGAGCUGGGUUUAGAACGUCGUGAGACAGUUCGGUCCCUAUCUGCCGUGGGCGCUGGAGAACUGAGGGGGGCUGCUCCUAGUACGAGAGGACCGGAGUGGACGCAUCACUGGUGUUCGGGUUGUCAUGCCAAUGGCACUGCCCGGUAGCUAAAUGCGGAAGAGAUAAGUGCUGAAAGCAUCUAAGCACGAAACUUGCCCCGAGAUGAGUUCUCCCUGAGACUUAGAGUCUCCUGAAGGAACGUUGAAGACGACGACGUUGAUAGGCCGGGUGUGUAAGCGCAGCGAUGCGUUGAGCUAACCGGUACUAAUGAACCGUGAGGCUUAACCUU